rnacentral:rRNA from 1 species
AAUGAACGCUGGCGGCGUGCUUAACACAUGCAAGUCGAACGAGAAAGUCUUUCGGGAUGAGUAAAGUGGCAGACGGGUGAGUAACGCGUGGAUAUCUACAUUUUAGUGGGGAAUAUGUUCGAGAAAUUGAAUUUAAUACUGCAUAAGCUUCGAAAGAAGGAAAGAUGGCCUCUUUGCUGUCGCUAAAAAAUGAGUCUGCGUACUAUUAGCUAGUUGGUGAGGUAAAUGCUUACCAAGGCAGUGAUGGUUAUCCGGCCUGAGAGGGUGAACGGACACAUUGGGACUGAGAUACGGCCCUAACUCCUACGGGAGGCAGCAGUGGGGAAUAUUGCGCAAUGGGCGAAAGCCUGACGCAGCAACGCCGCGUGGAGGAUGAAGAUCUUUGGAUUGUAAACUUCUGUUGAUCAGGAAGAAAGUUAAUGGUUAAUACCCAUUAUAAUGACGUUACUGAUAAAGAAGCACCGGCUAAUCUCGUGCCAGCAGCCGCGGU